ACCCCUGUUGACUGAAGGGAUGUUGAUCUCAUCCCACCCCUAUGGAUAGGGCUCCUAUUCAGCUAAGAGCAGCAGUAGGAAUGUAUAUCCAACUAUUCCAAACAGGAAGUGAUCUACAGGUAUCCUAAAUCUUCCUAUUUUCAUUCAAGGUCCAUCCACCUUGCUUUAACUUGCAUUCUUUGCCCAUUACUUUCAUUUUUUCUGUGGAUGCAGAGAAUUCCUUGUCUGGAGGCCAAGAGAAAGCCUGAGGCCCAUCACCAAACUAUCAUCUCAGUAGCCCUAACCUGUCACCAGGACACAUUUUGUUGAACAACAGAUUCCCGGAAGAAACUCCAG
rnacentral:lncRNA from 1 species